rnacentral:snRNA from 1 species
GGAUGUGAGGGAGAUCUGGCUGUGACAUCUGUCACCUCAUUGAUCGCCAGGGUUGAUUUGUCUUACCUGGCUGGCUAGGCAGCUGUCUGCUUCCUCCUUUGCCAUUCCAGGUGUGUCCCUCCAGAAGUUGCAUUCUGGGUAAGGGAACGACCAUCCCCCAUAGAGGACCAGUAUUUAGUCAAGGGUGUAUAUCAAUAGCUGUAUUCCCCUACUAGAACCUCCAAAUAAGCUCUCAAGAGUAAAUAACCCUUAACUGCUGGUCUGAGGGGAUUAUGGAUUUAAAUGUGUACGUGUGUAUGUAUAAUAUAUAUACAUAAAUAUGUGUGUGUGUGUAUAUAUAU